UACGUAGGGCGCAAGCGUUAUCCGGAAUUAUUGGGCGUAAAGAGCUCGUAGGCGGUUUGUCGCGUCUGCCGUGAAAGUCCGGGGCUCAACUCCGGAUCUGCGGUGGGUACGGACAGACUAGAGUGAUGUAGGGGAGACUGGAAUUCCUGGUGUAGCGGUGAAAUGCGCAGAUAUCAGGAGGAACACCGAUGGCGAAGGCAGGUCUCUGGGCAUUACCUGACGCUGAGGAGCGAAAGUGUGGGGAGCGAACAGG
rnacentral:rRNA from 1 species